rnacentral:miRNA from 2 species
UAUCACAGCCGUGCUUAAGGGC